AGAGUUUGAUCCUGGCUCAGAUUGAACGCUGGCGGCAUGCUUUACACAUGCAAGUCGAACGGCAGCACGGGGGCAACCCUGGUGGCGAGUGGCGAACGGGUGAGUAAUAUAUCGGAACGUACCCGGAAAUGGGGGAUAACGUAGCGAAAGUUACGCUAAUACCGCAUAUGCCCUGAGGGGGAAAGCGGGGGAUUCGCAAGAACCUCGCGUUUUCGGAGCGGCCGAUAUCGGAUUAGCUAGUAGGUGAGGUAAAGGCUCACCUAGGCGACGAUCCGUAGCUGGUCUGAGAGGACGACCAGCCACACUGGAACUGAGACACGGUCCAGACUCCUACGGGAGGCAGCAGUGGGGAAUUUUGGACAAUGGGCGCAAGCCUGAUCCAGCCAUGCCGCGUGAGUGAAGAAGGCCUUCGGGUUGUAAAGCUCUUUCAGCCGGAAAGAAAACGCACAGGUUAAUAACCCGUGCGGAUGACGGUACCGGAAGAAGAAGCACCGGCUAACUACGUGCCAGCAGCCGCGGUAAUACGUAGGGUGCGAGCGUUAAUCGGAAUUACUGGGCGUAAAGCGUGCGCAGGCGGUUUUGUAAGACAGAUGUGAAAUCCCCGGGCUUAACCUGGGAAACUGCAUUUGUAACUGCAAGGCUAGAGUACGGCAGAGGGGGGUAGGAUUCCCGUGUAGCAGUGAAAUGCGUAAAUAUGUGGAGGAACACCGAUGGCGAAGGCAGCCCCCUGGGUCGAUACUGAC
rnacentral:rRNA from 1 species